rnacentral:rRNA from 1 species
UACGAAGGGGACUAGCGUUGUUCGGAAUUACUGGGCGUAAAGCGCACGUAGGCGGCUUUGUAAGUUAGAGGUGAAAGCCCGGAGCUCAACUCCGGAAUAGCCUUUAAGACUGCAUCGCUAGAACGUUGGAGAGGUAAGUGGAAUUCCGAGUGUAGAGGUGAAAUUCGUAGAUAUUCGGAAGAACACCAGUGGCGAAGGCGACUUACUGGACAACUGUUGACGCUGAGGUGCGAAAGCGUGGGGAGCAAACAGG